rnacentral:rRNA from 1 species
AACUAACGCUGGCGGCGUGCCUAACACAUGCAAGUCGUACGAGAAAGUUGGCUUCGGCCGAUGAGUAAAGUGGCGCACGGGUGAGUAAUGCGUGGAUAAUCUGCCCUUUAGUUGGGAAUAACGUACCGAAAGGUGCGCUAAUACCUGAUAAUACUGCAUAACUACUGUUGUGUAGUCAAAGAAGGCCUCUGUUUACAAGCUUUUGCUGAAGGAUGAGUCCGCGUACCAUUAGCUGGUUGGUGGGGUAAUGGCCUACCAAGGCUACGAUGGUUACUGGUCUGAGAGGAUGAUCAGCCACACUGGAACUGAGACACGGUCCAGACUCCGUACGGGAGGCAGCAGUGAGGAAUAUUGCGCAAUGGGGGCAACCCUGACGCAGCAACGCCGCGUGAGUGAGGUAAGGUUUUCGGACCGUAAAGCUCUGUCGAGCGGGAAGAAUGUAUCAUGGUAAUUCCAUGAUACUUGACGGUACCGACGUAAAGGAA